ensembl:lncRNA
UCACAGGGCUGUCCCUUCCUGGGGGCACUUUGUAUUUUGUUUCAAUAAAAUUGACUCUGGGGACUUGAGAAUCUUCAAAAAGCCAAUUUAAGGUAUUGCUCAGAGGGUCCAGGUGGUUGCAUGAGGUCAUACGCAGGCCUCUGGAAACAACCAAGGCAUGUACAUAAGUGGGACAAUCACAUCCCGACGUCCUUUUUGAAUAGACACAGGUUGGUGGGUGUGGAACACUGAGAAGUGUCAGCUGGACCCUGCCCAGGAAGCCGGGGGUAAAUGAGAGUGUCUGUCCUGGGUGCUCUAGGGAGGCACACGUGUGAGUAGUUAGCAGUCAGGAUGGUCGGCAGCAGCUGAAUGUUAGGCACUGAGUUACCACUCCUAACCUGCGGAAGAGGAGCCCAGAGUGAAGGCCUCGUUCCUUGGAGGACCCAAGAGCUCUGGACUGUGAGAGUUACGGGCACUCUGAAUCCUAGCCCUGCCUCUCUACUUGUAAUCUCUCUGAACCAGAGUUUCCUCUCUGUAAAGGGGGAGGGUAUUGAUAGUGCUGUGGGAACCCCCAUGUUUUAUCUCCUUUCCCUUUUGAGAAGGCCUGGGGUGUGAGGAACCGGACAUUCAAAACUCUUGGCACUGGGUCUCCCAGCAACAACUUUUGCCUGAGGAAACAACACAGGCCAUGGUACCUGGGGUGUCUCAGUGGUACCUGCAUUUUUCUGAGCAGUUGAUGCGGCUCUUUUCGGUGUAAGUGUCCAGGAGGCAGAUGCUGGGAAUGUUCACAUCAGCUUCAGUCGGCUUUCUGGGUUAUGCUGCCCUGAGAGAAGCAUGUGUCUCUGCUUGCCUCUCAUGCCUAGGCGCUUCCGUCACAUUUUUCAUCUUCCAGUAACACUUCGAAAUCUCCUUCGUUUGUUUGAAUUCCCACCUCUUCACCCACAUGGCAAUUAGAGAGGGGAGAUGACCCUAAAACCUCAUGCAAAUCAAGGAUCAUCAGGCUAUGUGCAACACUCUUCAUGGGCUCCACAUGGUCUGAGCACAUAGACAUGAAAACCCUCCACCCUAUGCUGACUAUGGCAGGUGGAAUAGGAGCAGGAUAACUGCAAUGAGGACUCCCAUUCAGAGAAAAGAAGCAUGGGAACACAUCCGGCACUGGUUCAUGACAACGAUCAGAUGCUGAUGGGCUGGAGGAAGGAGCCCCCCUACCCCGGCAGUGGAGCUUUGUCCAUCGUCCAUGUCUCUGGGCUUUUCCUUCUGGGAGGCUCUUAUCCCCCAUGGCUACCCCUGAAACAGGCAUUGGUGAGAGGGGCCCCUGGGAGCUUCAGAGUGUUCACCUCUACUUCCUGCUGCUGCAGAUUGUGGAUCCCAGCGAUUGUAUUAGGAAGUAACGGUCAUAGUCAAUACUUUUUAUUGUUUGUUCAGUGCUUUCAAAAAAAAAAAAAACUUAGCAGGCUUUCAAUCUAUCUGCUUCUGAUCAGUUUCUUAUAUAAAAUCCACAACUACAGACCUGCAGCCAUCAUUCUAACACUGCAGGGGAACCAGGAGGGACUUGAGAAAGUUAAAUUCAAACUUGCCCUGUGCCUAACCACACUGCAGUUUACUUUGAUGUGAAGACCUUUAGAGUGAUAUGUAAGGGCAUCUCCUCCCAGAGCGCCCCUCUCCCUUUGCAGUCUGGGACUUCAACUGGAAGAUAGACAAUGAAGAUACACACCUGACUUGCUCCCACACUUGCGUCCUUUCUCACCUCCUCCCCGCCAUCCUCCAGACCUGAGAUCAGGGCUCUCCUGUCUGUUCUCCUCUUUAGAUAAAGCUCUAAGGUCAGUUCUGUCAGGCUGGCUUCUUGAUAUAUUACAGAGAAAGUUAAAGACAUCCAGAAUAUCCUUUUUCUUAAUAAAGACUGUCU